rnacentral:pre_miRNA from 1 species
AUCAUCUGGGGAGCUUGUUAAAAUGCAGAUUCCAGUUCAGAAGGUCUGGGAAGAGACCAAAGAUUCUGCAUUUCUAACAAACUCCCAGGUGCUGCUGG